rnacentral:rRNA from 1 species
CCUACGGGAGGCAGCAGUGAGGAAUAUUGGUCAAUGGACGCAAGUCUGAACCAGCCAUGCCGCGUGCAGGAAGACGGCUCUAUGAGUUGUAAACUGCUUUUGUACGAGGGUAAACGCAGAUACGCGUAUCUGUCUGAAAGUAUCGUACGAAUAAGGAUCGGCUAACUCCGUGCCAGCAGCCGCGGUAAUACGGAGGAUUCAAGCGUUAUCCGGAUUUAUUGGGUUUAAAGGGUGCGUAGGCGGUCGGAUAAGUUAGGUGUGAAAUCCCGAGGCUCAACUUCGGAAUUGCCUCUGAUACUGUUCGGCUAGAGAGUAGUUGCGGUAGGCGGAAUGUGUGGUGUAGCGGUGAAAGGCUUAGAGAUCAGACAGAACGCCGAGUGCGAAGGCAGCUUA